UGGGGAAUUUUGGACAAUGGGGGCAACCCUGAUCCAGCCAUCCCGCGUGUGCGAUGAAGGCCUUCGGGUUGUAAAGCACUUUUGGCAGGGAAGAAACAGCCUGGGAUAAUACCCCGGGCGACUGACGGUACCUGCAGAAUAAGCACCGGCUAACUACGUGCCAGCAGCCGCGGUAAUACGUAGGGUGCAAGCGUUAAUCGGAAUUACUGGGCGUAAAGCGUGCGCAGGCGGUUCGGAAAGAAAGGUGUGAAAUCCCAGGGCUUAACCUUGGAACUGCACUUUUAACUACCGAGCUAGAGUACGUCAGAGGGGGGUAGAAUUCCACGUGUAGCAGUGAAAUGCGUAGAGAUGUGGAGGAAUACCGAUGGCGAAGGCAGCCCCCUGGGAUGAUACUGACGCUCAUGCACGAAAGCGUGGGGAGCAAACAGGAUUAGAUACCCUGGUAGUCCACGCCCUAAACGAUGUCAACUAGCUGUUGGGGUUUAUUAACCUUAGUAGCGCAGCUAACGCGUGAAGUUGACCGCCUGGGGAGUGCGGUCGCAAAGAUUAAAACUCAAAUGAAUUGACGGGGUCAU
rnacentral:rRNA from 1 species